ACUUCUCCUUCUCUAAGCUCUCAAAACUCUCUCGGUAUCCUUUAUUUUUCUGCAACGUUUGUCUCUGUUUCCUGCAACUUUCCUUCCUUCUAUUUUUCUGUUUUGUCCAUUGCAGCAAACAGCCCAUCUCUUCCUCUUUUGCAGAAAAACAGCAAGACAAAACCAGAGGAAUACUCUCCCUUUUUCUGCAUCUCUACCAACCAGAACCAACAAAAGAAAAGCCCAGAAAACCCAGCCCUCUUCUUCUUUAUCUAUCUCAGUUUGCAAAUAGAAAAGAAAAGAGAAAUAAAAAUCUGGAAAGAAGCCUCACCUUAAUCGGUCACUGAGGCGCUUUUUCUCCCUGCAAGUCACUCUCUUUUCCUCUAUCGGUUUAGCACUUGAAAAACAGGGAAAACCAACUCAGUUAAACCUUUCAAACUCUUUCUCUCUCAGUUGAUUUGAACCCAAACAUUAAAGAAAAGAAUCAGAAUCAGACGACCUUUCCCUUCCUUCUUGUGUAUUUCCGGUCUGCAGCUCUUGUUAUCAUUUCUGUGAAUACUUUCUGAAGCAAGAAAGAUCUGAUUAAUAACAAGUUGGUUGUUGGGAUGACCAAUGGAUAGGCAUACUGCCUAUGCGAAAAACAAUAAUAAGUACAAGUUGGCUGUUGGGAUGGUCAAUGUGCUAGGCAAGUUAUGGCUACUUAAUUGACUGUCGGGAUGGUCAAUGUACUUGGUUGUCGGGAUGAUCAAUGUACUAAGUAUGCUACUUUGACUACUACUGCGGAAAAGCUAAGAAAACAUGGUAAGGGAGUCUGUGCUCCAAUAAUUAGCCGCUUAAACGAACAGGGAUUUAAUGGCCCUGGUAUGAGAGGAGUGCAAAAAGAAAAUAAUUAAGACUGUGCAUAUAAAACUGUCAUUACAUCAUAUCGUUGCAUCGUAUAUUGUUAAAUAAAUCAAUAAUCAUCAUAUUAUUGAAAACAGUGAACUCACUAGGUAUUUUUGUAUUAUUGUUUC